AUGGCUGCAAACAACAAUGACAUAAUGAGACUCAGCCGUGAAAUCCAACAUGUGUUUGUUCGUCGCAGGAGGGCUAGACUUCAAAAUGAGCAGGCCAAAGUUAGGCGGGGAACCGUCCCUAGUCCUCAUGACGGGGAAGCAAUUGAGUUCUAUGAGUCGUCUGUCACAAAGGUCCUCAUCUCAGGGCACGUCUCCUCUGCUCGCAUAGAACAGGAGCGUAGCUUCUACUGCACAUAG